rnacentral:rRNA from 1 species
CGAACGCUGGCGGCGUGCCUAAUACAUGCAAGUCGAACGCACUCUCGUUUAGAUUGAAGGAGCUUGCUCCUGAUUGAUAAACAUUUGAGUGAGUGGGCGGACGGGUGAGUAACACGUGGGUAACCUGCCCUAAAGUGGGGAUAACAUUGGAAACAGAUGCUAAUACCGCAUAAAACCUAACACCGCAUGGUGUAGGGUUGAAAGAUGGUUUCGGCUAUCACUUUAGGAUGGACCCGCGGUGCAUUAGUUAGUUGGUGAGGUAAAGGCUCACCAAGACCGUGAUGCAUAGCCGACCUGAGAGGGUAACCGGCCACACUGGGACUGAGACACGGCCCAGACUCCUACGGGAGGCAGCAGUAGGGAAUCUUCCACAAUGGACGAAAGUCUGAUGGAGCAACGCCGCGUGAGUGAAGAAGGUUUUCGGAUCGUAAAACUCUGUUGUUGGAGAAGAAUGUAUCUGAUAGUAACUGAUCAGGUAGUGACGGUAUCCAACCAGAAAGCCACGGCUAACUACGUG